CCAGACUCCUACGGGAGGCAGCAGUGGGGAAUCUUCCGCAAUGGGCGAAAGCCUGACGGAGCAACGCCGCGUGAUCGAAUGAAGGCCUUCGGGUUGUAAAGAUCUGUUGACAGGGACGAAUAAGCAAUGCGAAUAGUUUUGUGUAUGACGGUACCUGUUUAGAAAGCCCCGGCUAACUACGUGCCAGCAGCCGCGGUAAUACGUAGGGGGCAAGCGUUAUCCGGAAUUAUUGGGCGUAAAGAGUACGUAGGUGGUUUUGUAAGCGCGGGGUGAAAGGCAGUGGCUUAACCAUUGUAAGCCUUGCGAACUGCAAGACUUGAGUGCAGGAGAGGAAAGCGGAAUUCCUAGUGUAGCGGUGAAAUGCUUAGAUAUUAGGAGGAACACCAGUGGCGAAGGCGGCUUUCUGGACUGUAACUGACACUGAGGUACGAAAGCGUGGGGAGCAAACAGGAUUAGAUACCCGCGUAUC
rnacentral:rRNA from 1 species